rnacentral:rRNA from 1 species
CCUACGGGGGGCAGCAGUGGGGAAUAUUGGACAAUGGGCGAAAGCCUGAUCCAGCCAUGCCGCGUGUGUGAAGAAGGCCUUCGGGUUGUAAAGCACUUUCAGUGGGGAAGAAAGCCUUGGGGCUAAUACCCUCGAGGAAGGACAUCACCCACAGAAGAAGCACCGGCUAACUCCGUGCCAGCAGCCACGGUAAUACGGAGGGUGCGAGCGUUAAUCGGAAUUACUGGGCGUAAAGCGCGCGUAGGCGGUCUGAUAAGCCGGUUGUGAAAGCCCCGGGCUCAACCUGGGAACGGCAUCCGGAACUGUCAGGCUAGAGUGCAGGAGAGGAAGGUAGAAUUCCUGGUGUAGCAGUGAAAUGCGUAGAGAUCGGGAGGAAUACCAGUGGCGAAGGCGGCCUUCUGGACUGACACUGACGCUGAGGUGCGAAAGCGUGGGUAGCAAACAGGAUUAGAUACCCCAGUAGUC